rnacentral:rRNA from 1 species
GACGAACGCUGGCGGCGUGCUUAACACAUGCAAGUCGAACGGAAAGGCCUUUUCGGAGGUACUCGAGUGGCGAACGGGUGAGUAACACGUGGCUGAUCUGCCCUGCACUCUGGGAUAAGCCUGGGAAACUGGGUCUAAUACCGGAUAGGACCGCACUUUAGUGUGUGUGGUGGAAAGUUUUUUCGGUGUAGGAUGAGCCCGCGGCCUAUCAGCUUGUUGGUGGGGUAAUGGCCUACCAAGGCGGCGACGGGUAGCCGGACUGAGAGGUUGGUCGGCCACAUUGGGACUGAGAUACGGCCCAGACUCCUACGGGAGGCAGCAGUGGGGAAUAUUGCACAAUGGGCGCAAGCCUGAUGCAGCGACGCCGCGUGGGGGAUGACGGCCUUCGGGUUGUAAACUCCUUUCGCCAGGGACGAAGCGUUUUGUGACGGUACCUGGAGAAGAAGCACCGGCUAACUACGUG